rnacentral:rRNA from 1 species
UCGAACGAGAAAGUGGAGCAAUCCAUGAGUACAGUGGCGUACGGGUGAGUAACACGUGGGUGAUCUACCUUUUAGUGAGGAAUAACCGAGGGAAACUUCGGCUAAUACCGCAUAAGCCUGAGAAGGGAAAGCAGAAAUGCGCUGAAAGAGGAGCCCGCGGCCGAUUAGCUAGUUGGUGAGGUAAGAGCCCACCAAGGCAGAGAUCGGUAGCCGGCCUGAGAGGGCACACGGCCACACUGGCACUGAAACACGGGCCAGACUCCUACGGGAGGCAGCAGUGGGGAAUCUUGCACAAUGGGGGAAACCCUGAUGCAGCGACGCCGCGUGAGCGAUGAAGCCCUUCGGGGUGUAAAGCUCUUUCGUCAGGGAAGAUAGUGACGGUACCUGGAGAAGCAGCUGCGGCUAACUACGUGCCAGCAGCCGCGGUAAUACGUAGGCAGCAAGCGUUGUUCGGAGUUACUGGGCGUAAAGGGUGUGUAGGCGGUUCUUUAAGUUUGCUGUGAAAUCUCCCGGCUUAACCGGGAGGGUGCGGUGAAUACUGAGGGACUAGAGUACGGGAGAGGAAAGUGGAAUUCCUGGUGUAGCGGUGAAAUGCGUAGAUAUCAGGAGGAACACCGGUGGUGUAGACGGCUUUCUGGACCGACACUGACGCUGAGACACGAAAGCGUGGGUAGCAAACAGGAUUAGAUACCCUGGUAGUCCACGCCCUAAACGAUGCAUAUUUGGUGUGGGCAGUUCAUUCUGUCCGUGCCGGAGCUAACGCGUUAAAUAUGCCG